rnacentral:tRNA from 2 species
GCACCCAUAGCUCAACUGGAUAGAGCACUGGUCUUCGGAACCAGGGGUUGGGGGUUCAAAUCCCUCUGGGUGCACCA